AACGAACGCUGGCGGCAUGCCUAACACAUGCAAGUCGAACGAGACCUUCGGGUCUAGUGGCGCACGGGUGCGUAACGCGUGGGAAUCUGCCCUUAGGUACGGAAUAACUCAGGGAAACUUGAGCUAAUACCGUAUAAUGACUUCGGUCCAAAGAUUUAUCGCCUGAGGAUGAGCCCGCGUCGGAUUAGCUAGUUGGUGAGGUAAAGGCUCACCAAGGCGACGAUCCGUAGCUGGUCUGAGAGGAUGAUCAGCCACACUGGGACUGAGACACGGCCCAGACUCCUACGGGAGGCAGCAGUGGGGAAUAUUGGACAAUGGGGGAAACCCUGAUCCAGCAAUGCCGCGUGAGUGAUGAAGGCCUUAGGGUUGUAAAGCUCUUUUACCCGGGAUGAUAAUGACAGUACCGGGAGAAUAAGCCCCGGCUAACUCCGUGCCAGCCGCCGCAGUAACAC
rnacentral:rRNA from 1 species